GGUUGUGGCUCAGUGGAAGAGCACUUGCCUAGCAUGUUGGAGGGACUGGGUUCAAUCCUCAGCACCA
rnacentral:tRNA from 1 species